UAAAGCUAAGCAUCAGGCUAUUGGCUCUGACUUGAGGCGCGCAGUGAUGACGUGCGGGAACCAUUUUGGACCUUCGACUUCGUUUGUGCUGUGUUUCAGAAGGCUUUCUUGAACCCUUUGGUCCUGUUGCCAAGAAGAGUUGUUCAAAAGGUCGUAAUACCUGAGUUCGGAAGAAACCGCUUAUAAGGAAGAAAAUGCCGCCUCUUGAAACGGAUAUAGCAGUGGAAACCGAAGAGUUAGUAAGGUUUGAGGAUCAUAUAACACGGGAGCUUACAUAUCUAUGCUCAGUGAUAAAGAGGCUAAUGUCAGAGCGCUUGAAAAAUAUCAGGGAGUUGAGAGAUAUAACAGAAAUGUGCAAGCCUGAUCGGGCAGAAAAUCGAGUUACCGAAGUAAAUGCAAAACAAGAGAAAGAGCAUGCGGAAGAAAAGGAAAAAUAGAAGAAAGGAAGUCUACGGGAUCGGUCCAGGAGCUACAAUGUACGCGUAAUAGGAAUACUUGAAACAGGGAAAAAGCAUAUGAAGCUGAAACAAUAAGGAACUAAUUGAAGAAAAUUUUCCAGAUUCGAAGAACGGACUAAAUCUGCAAAUAGCAAAAGUUCAUAGAGUACCAAUAAAACUUAACGAAAAGAAAGCAACACCUAGACAUCUUAGUGAUGUUUUUAAAAUUGGCGGAUAAGGAAAAAAAUUCUACAAGUAUUCAGAUAGAGAAAGCAGGUUAGCUAUAAGGGGUUAAAGUCAGACUGACCCGAUUUUUUUUCUUCCAGCUCUAAAUGCUGAAAGGCAAUGGAGCAAUACCUACAGUUUUAAGGGAAAGUGAUUUUGAACCAAGCGUUAUAUAUAUAUAUCCUGCCAAGUUAUCUUUUCUUUAUGAAGGCAACUGGAAGAUAUUUCCAGAUGUGCAGGGGUUAAGAAAGUAUAUCACCCAAAUACUAUCCUUGGAAAAUUUGCUAAAUGCUGUUAACUGCAGCCCACAAAAACAACUCAAGAGUAGUGAGACAAUUGUAUGAAAAAAAAAAUGGUGGGUAAACAUUAAAAGCUAGUUAAAUAUCGUUAAGAUUAAAUUGUUUUAUGUAGGGUUAUAAAACUAAAUGCAAAGGUAGAUUCUUAAGUUGGGUCUAAAAUUUCACUUUGUCUUGUUUUAAACUGAAAAGGUGUGUUAAGUGUUCAAUUUACAGAGCAGUUUGUUUUUAGUAUGUAAUGUAGAUAAAACUGUGCAUGCUGUUCAGCUAAAUAAAAAGGCUUUGUCGCUGUGGACAAGACACCUAGACUAAAGGCAUUCCAAGUGUUAAUCUGAUAAAAUGGAAAAUUGUUACAGUUUUGUGUCCUUUAUUUUUAAUUAGAGAGGGGGAAAAGUCACAAGUUUGUCUGUAAUGUUAAUACCGACUGUAAAAAGAAAGUUUCCAAAUCCCUGACUGGGGAGGCAGUAGAUGAAAACCUUGUUUUAUGUACAUCUUGCCUAGGGAGAAAAAGUAGUAACUGCUUCAUGUAGUAUUUAAUUCUAAGUAAAUUUGACAUUGAGAUAUGUGUUACAGAUAAAAUUAGAAUAUACCAGUUUUAUGGAUUGGAGAGGAAGUAGUGAAAAAAACAGCCAGGAAAACUUAAAAUUAGCAUAAAAUAGGUUGACAGAGAUACAGGUGAAUUAUCACACUCAUGAACGGGCUAAAUACCCCUGUAAAAAGAUUUAAAAAAAUCAGUCUCUGAACCUGCAUGUCAUAUUUGUAAAACCAAAGGAUAAAGGAGUUUAAAGAUAAUGAAAACUGUUAAGUCAUAGAAAUUGAAAUAGGGAGCACCAUUUUUAUUAGAAUUUAAGCUAUAACAACGUAUAAAACCCAAUGUAGGAUGUAACAUUUAAGAAGCUUUAUGUGGUAAAUAACAUGGCAUUCAUGUACAAAAUGUUCAAUAUCUUGAUGUGAGUGAUACUUUUACUGAUGUAUACAUUGUGUUUAAAAUAAGUGCAUUUUAAGUACUUAAUAAAGUAAUUCUUAAUUCAAAUACAUAUGGCAAUACAUAUAUUGGACACUAACUUCAAUACUUAAAAGUCUUUAGUAAAGUAGAUGAACAAAGAUAAACUAAAUAGGAGGGUUGUGUAUGUGUGUGUAAUAUGUAUUACUUUGCUACUUCAUUUGCAUAUUUUUUCAAAUUAUCCUGAAACAUUUCUAAAUGAUCUUGUAGUAGGGUAGCAGAGAAAAUUUUAUGAGCAUAUUGCACAAAUGACUACAUUGCAAGAAAGCCUAGAAACUCAGUUUAAAAGCUGAAAAAUCAUAUACUUGGAAUUUUGGAUGUUCUUAAAUAACAGGUCAAAGAGAAAAUUGUAACAAACACUUAUAAUUUAGGAAAUGCUACAAUAAGGACAUUACAUGUUAUGGAAUGGAUAUUCAAAAGGCAAGGAACAGGAAAUGAAAAUAUUAGGUGGAGGAUGGAAUAUGCACCUAGUAGACUUAGUAACUGGAGUUUGUAAAUUGUGUUACCUUCCAAUUCUAAGUAGUGGAUUUUCUCCAAUAUAAGCUAUUCUAAGUGCCACAAUUAACAUCUUGGUGACAGAUUUCUCCCUACUGAGUUUUAACGUAAGUUCUAAACAGCUGAUUUUCAGAGGGAGAAGCCGAAGUCUUUUCUUAACCACCACACCCCCACAUACACUCACACAGGUUUUAUUGUCUCUUUCUUAGACCUCCAUAUAUUUCUGUGGUAUGGUUUUCAUAUUGAAAUUAUGGUCCUCAGAAAAGCAGUAUCAGCAUUGUCUGGGAGCUUGCUAGAAAUGUAUCUCAGGUUAAUAGCAGCCUGGGAUUAGAUUAUAAAAUAUAUUAAACAUCUAUAAACUUUCUCACUGAACGUAAUACAUUGUACAUUAUGAAUGCUUAAUAAACGUUAAAUAGCAUUAGAAUCUAGAGACAGUUUUGCUGAAGCAGUGCUCUUGUAUAAAAGUUUUUGUACUUGAAUUGUAAGUCACAUUUUCCAAAUAUUUCAGGGCCAGACUGGUACUUCUGUUUUCCUCCUGUGUUGAAAUUUUGUAAAGUUGGGACACGAGGAAAACUUCAAGUUGAACAAUCCAAAUUUAGAAAUGUUGAAGAAGUACAACUUAAAAUGGUAAAUGAAGAAUAAGGCUCUCAUAAUAAUAGGUCUCUCUCUAGUGAAUAAAAUAACCUUUGGGGGGGAUUUAAAUUCAAGUUAUGUGCAGAUCAAGGUUUCUGGAUGAAAUCAAAGAUUUAUAGAAGGUGUAAAAGGCCUUCAUUAAUAAUGCUAUAGAAUUAGUGACAAGUGGGUAAAUAGGAGUACUAGCAAUAAUUGGAACAGCAGCUCUAGUAAAUUACAGACAGGACUUUGGAUUCUCCAAUGUUGCACUCCCCUAAAGGUGAUAAUAUUCUUGUAUUGGUAAGGGUGGGCUAGAAUAUGCAAACCAGUUGCCUGAAGAUAUAUUAAGAUGCAGAUAAUGAUAUAACAUAUUUGGGGUAAAGCUGAGAUUCUGUAUUUCUUAAAAGCUCCCAUGGGUUGGUGCUGCAAGUCUGGAUACAUAACAGACGAAAAUUUCAAGUACAAAAAUAAGACCUUCACUGUGUCUACUAACCAGGAAAUUGAGGCUCAGAAAGUAGUUGGCUUAAGGCUGCAUGGAAGCAGGCUGAAGG